rnacentral:piRNA from 1 species
UGGGGAACAGGUGGUAUUUGCUUACAUGA